GAUGAACGCCGGCGGUGUGCCUAAUACAUGCAAGUCGAGCGCACUGGCCCAACCGAUAUGACGUGCUUGCACUGAUUUGACGAUGGAUCACCAGUGAGCGGCGGACGGGUGAGUAACACGUGGGCAACCUGCCCUGGAGCGGGGGAUAACAUUUGGAAACAGAUGCUAAUACCGCAUAAUAAUCAAAACCACAUGGUUUUGAUUUCAAAGAUGGCUUCGGCUAUCACUCCAGGAUGGGCCCGCGGUGCAUUAGCUAGUUGGUAAGGUAACGGCUUACCAAGGCGAUGAUGCAUAGCCGAGUUGAGAGACUGAUCGGCCACAAUGGAACUGAGACACGGUCCAUACUCCUACGGGAGGCAGCAGUAGGGAAUCUUCCACAAUGGGCGCAAGCCUGAUGGAGCAACACCGCGUGAGUGAAGAAGGGUUUCGGCUCGUAAAACUCUGUUGUUGAAGAAGAACGUGCGUGAGAGUAACUGUUCACGCAGUGACGGUAUUCAACCAGAAAGUCACGGCUAACUAC
rnacentral:rRNA from 1 species